CCUGAAACAAGCCCCACCUAUAUAAAAGGCCAUAAUCAGUCACCCUGUAUUUUCCCUCACUACAUUACAUCGGUCAUUGAGAGCAUAACACUUCGUUCAUCAGCACGGACAACAACCCUAAGAGCGUUCUUUUUAACAUGGACAGCGUAUAUGGUAGGUAAACAAGACUAUUAACGGAUUCUUAAAUUUAUACAGCUGUAUAUCAAAAAAUAUUCAAACUGUUUUCUCUUCUAAACAAAAGCCUGAUUUUUAGGAACUUGGUACACAUGGACACCCCAAGCGGGACUUACACAAGGAUCACAAAGCUAUAUAGGGCAAACAACACCUCUAAAAAACACAAGGAUCAAUAAGUUGUCCAGAAAAACCUACAGAAGCGGAGGAAAUAAGACCAAGCCUUACGUUAGG
ensembl:lncRNA